GUUGGAAACGGCUGCUAAUACCGCAUAAGCGCACGGCAUCGCAUGAUGCAGUGUGAAAAACUCCGGUGGUAUAAGAUGGACCCGCGUUGGAUUAGCUAGUUGGUGAGGUAACGGCCCACCAAGGCGACGAUCCAUAGCCGACCUGAGAGGGUGACCGGCCACAUUGGGACUGAGACACGGCCCAAACUCCUACGGGAGGCAGCAGUGGGGAAUAUUGCACGAUGGGCGAAAGCCUGAUGCAGCGACGCCGCGUGAGCGAAGAAGUAUUUCGGUAUGUAAAGCUCUAUCAGCAGGGAAGAUAAUGACGGUACCUGACUAAGAAGCACCGGCUAAAUACGUGCCAGCAGCCGCGGUAAUACGUAUGGUGCAAGCGUUAUCCGGAUUUACUGGGUGUAAAGGGAGCGCAGGCGGUGCGGCAAGUCUGAUGUGAAAGCCCGGGGCUCAACCCCGGUACUGCAUUGGAAACUGUCAUACUAGAGUGUCGGAGGGGUAAGCGGAAUUCCUAGUGUAGCGGUGAAAUGCGUAGAUAUUAGGAGGAACACCAGUGGCGAAGGCGGCUUACUGGACGAUAACUGACGCUGAGGCUCGAAAGCGUGGGGAGCAAACAGGAUUAGAUACCCUGGU
rnacentral:rRNA from 1 species